rnacentral:rRNA from 1 species
UUCCCAUUCCGAACACGACGGUUAAGCCUUUAGAAGCCGAUGGUACUGCACGGGAGACUGUGUGGGAGAGUAGGUGGUCGCCAGGU